AUGGACCGAGGUGAGAUAAAAAAGAGCUUUUUCUGGCUGAUUCGUUGUGCUCCGAGGGCCUUUCCCUCUGGGCAAGCAGGGAGUGUGCCUCUUUCCUCGCUGUUAUUAAAAGUCAGGGCUAAAAUCCCUCUGGGAGCAGGGAAGGCAGAUAAUCCCCGCUCCUCCCGACCUUAUUUCCCUCCUCGCUUUGCAAGGUUAUUGCAGCUCCCCGGCAGUAGCUGCCCGGCACAAAAUACUCCUUCCUCUCCAAAAAAAAAGAAAAAAAAUAAUAAAUAUAGAUAUAUAUUUCCACCAAACACCCCCUCACAGCACCAAGCUCCCACCCCGUUCCCCCUCUGCAAGAACAAGCAGCUAAAAGCAGUUUGCUCUCCUCCAGCACCGCAGACAUCUUUCCCUGGGGCUGAGGAGCCGUGUGAUGAACUCCAGCAGCAGAGGGGAAUAGGAAUAUUUAUUUUUUUUUUCCUGGCUUCUUGUAAAAUACCCCCCAGACACAGGCUUUGCCACCCGAGCUCGGGCGCGCAAGGAUGGAGCCCGUGGGAGGGGGGCUGCAUGGAAACCCCUCCUGCUUUUGGCUGUGCCAGGCUAAUGGCUCGAAUUGCUGCGGAUUUGGGGCUGGGAUGUGGCCAUCCCCCGGCUGGCGGUGCCUUGUGCGUGGCUCCAGCUACCUCUAGUGGAAAGCAGACAAAAAAGCGGCCGCCCCCGGCUGCACGGCUUGCGCACGGAGGACCUCGUUGGUUUAUUUACCCCACCUGGCUUUGCAGCCACCUAAUUCGAAGCCUUGGUGAAUUUUUUUGGCUGUGAGACACACUCAAGCCAUCACUAGAUAAAAUCCCACAGCCAUCUAGCUCGGAAAAUACCCUCAGGGUCACCAGGUCCCACCACUAACCCAAGUCCCCCAGUGCCACGUCCACACAUCCCUCGAGCACCUCCAGGGCUGGGGACCCCCCUACUGCCUCCAGUGCUCAACCACCCUCUAAGUGCAGCAGCUGCCCUGAUUUUGGGAUAUUUUUCUCUUCCAGCAGGGCCAGGACCUGCUCAUCCUCCUGGGUGCCAAAGCUCUAUGUCAUUAUAGAUAUCAAGAACCAAAGAAGAACCACUCAUUGCAGCCCCAGCAGCUUGGGCAGCCUCUUGGCAGGGUUUUCUGAGUAUCCAGAAGGUUUUGUAAGCCCACACGGAGCAUCCCAGGGCCAUUUCCACAUGGCACGGGUGGGUCAGUCCCUCGAGGUCUGGCGGGGCUCAGAGGUCCCUGGAGGUCUGGCAGCUGCUCAUUGCAACAUGGCCAUAAACGGGGGAAAAUGGUAUUUUGGGGAGGAUUCAUCUGAAAACCGAACCAGCGCAAUUGUGCCCCAGUUUCAGCUCUCCCUGAAAAGUGCUGCAAAAAAAGGUUAACAAGCUCAAAGUGUCAGGGACAAGUGGGGCUGAUGGGAAGGAUUAGACGCUAAUGAGAGCCAUCUCCGAAGGCAUCCAUCACGCCGCUUUCAUGAGUUUCUUAAUGUGGUGGGAACUCUGCCACGGCUGGAUCCCUUUUAUUUAAAGCAGAGAUAAAAAGCCGGGGAGGCAUUAAUAUUAAUUAAGGAACCGACAUUUGCAGAAACUUUCCUUACCCCACGUCACACCCAGCUCUCUGUCCCACUCCAGCGAGCAACCAGAUUUUUUUUUUUUUUUUUUAAUUUUCCAGAAAGGGCUGAAUCUCUCGGCAGAAUUUAUGAGCCUUUGUCACUCGUGCUGUGACUUUCCUCCCGAAGGGCAGGAAGCAAAGAC
rnacentral:lncRNA from 1 species